AAAAAAGUUACAAAGGGCGUACGGCGGAUGCCUAGGCUCUCAGAGGCGAUGAAGGACGUGAUAAGCUGCGAUAAGCUGCGGGUAUUGGCACAUACGAUUCGAUCCGCAGAUUUCCGAAUGGGGCAACCCGUCAGGUUGAAGGCCUGACACCUAUUAAUUAGGGGCGAACGUGGGGAACUGAAACAUCUAAGUACCCAUAGGAAAAGAAAUCAAUUGAGAUUCCGUCAGUAGUGGCGAGCGAACGCGGAUUAGCCCAUAAGAUUAUAUAAGUUUAACAGAAUAACCUGGAAAGGUUAACCGUAGAAGGUGAUAGUCCUGUACGUGAAAGGCUUAUAUAAUUGAUAUCGAGUAAGGCGGGACACGUGCAAUCCUGUUUGAAUAUGGGGGGACCAUCCUCCAAGGCUAAAUACUCCUGAGAGACCGAUAGUGAACUAGUACUGUGAAGGAAAGGUGAAAAGUAUAUCGAGAAGAUAGUUGAAAUAGAACCUGAAACCGUACGCCUACAAGCGGUCGGAGCCUAUUUAUGGUGACGGCGUGCCUUUUGCAUAAUGAGCCUACGAGUUAAUGUUUCUGGCAAGGUUAAGCACUUCAGGUGCGCAGCCGUAGCGAAAGCGAGUCUUAAUAGGGCGUAUAGUCAGAGGUAUUAGACGCGAAACCUUGUGAUCUACCCAUGGGCAGGUUGAAGCUUUGGUAACACAAAGUGGAGGACCGAACCCGUUGAUGUUGAAAAAUCUUGGGAUGACCUGUGGGUAGGGGUGAAAGGCCAAUCAAACUGGGAAAUAGCUCGUACUCCCCGAAAUGCAUUUAGGUGCAGCGUUUAGUUAAGUAUAUUAGAGGUAGAGCUACUGAUUGGAUGCGGGGGCUUCACCGCCUACCAAUUCCUGAUAAACUCCGAAUGCUAAUAUAUGUUUCUAAGCAGUGAGGGCAUGGGUGCUAAGGUCCAUGUCUGAGAGGGAAAGAACCCAGACCAUCAGCUAAGGUCCCCAAAUGUAUGCUAAGUUGAUAAAACGCGGUUGGAUUGCCCAGACAGCUAGGAUGUUAGCUUGGAAGCAGCUAUUCAUUUAACGAGUGCGUAACAGCUCACUAGUCGAGCGAUCCGGCAUGGAUAAUAAUCGGGCAUAAGCAUACUACCGAAGCUAUGGAUUACAUAUUAUUAUGUAGUGGUAGGGGAGCAUUCUAUCGGCGCUGAAGCAAUUUUGUAAAGAUUUGUGGAGCUUAUAGAAAAGAAAAUGUAGGCAUGAGUAACGAUAAAAUCAGUGAGAAACUGAUUCGCCGUAAGAUCAAGGAUUCCUAAGCUAUGCUAAUCAGCUUAGGGUUAGUCGGGUCCUAACAUGUACCCAUAAGGGGAAGUGGAUGGCAAACGGGUUAAUAUUCCCGUACCUGCUCUCAAUAAAAGUGACGGAUGAAUGUAUUAGGUGCGUACUGACGGAAUAGUACGUUGAACCUACGUAAAGUAGGGAUAGUACACAAAGGCUUCGGCUGGCGUGAUAAUCCUAAGAAUUUUGUUCCAAGAAAUAGCGAGAGACGCAGCCCGUACCGUAAACCGACACAGGUGAUCGAGGAGAGUAUCCUCAGGCGCUCGAGUGAGUCGUGGUUAAGGAACUAGGCAAAAUCGACCUGUAACUUCGGGAGAAAGGUCGCUCCGCUCCGGCGGAGCCUCAGUAAAAAGGCCCAGGCGACUGUUUAUCAAAAACACAGAGCUUUGCAAAAUCGAAAGAUGACGUAUAAGGCUUGACACCUGCCCGGUGCUGGAAGGUUAAGGAAGGUUGUUAGGGUAACCGAAGCAAUUGACUGAAGCCCCAGUAAACGGCGGCCGUAACUAUAACGGUCCUAAGGUAGCGAAAUUCCUUGUCGGGUAAGUUCCGACCUGCACGAAUGGUGUAACGAUCUGGGCACUGUCUCAACCACGAGCUCGGUGAAAUUGUAGUAUCGGUGAAGAUGCCGGUUAAUCGCAACGGGACGAAAAGACCCUGUGAACCUUUACUAUAGCUUCGUAUUGACUUUGGGUAAAUAAUGUGUAGGAUAGGUGGGAGACUAUGAAUUAGCAUCGCCAGGUGUUAAGGAGUCGUUGUUGAAAUACCACCCUUUAUUUAUCUGAAGCCUAACUCCUUUUAGGAGGACAUUGCGUGGUGGGUAGUUUGACUGGGGUGGUCGCCUCCAAAAGCGUAACGGAGGCUUUCAAAGGUACCCUCAGCACGCUUGGUAACCGUGCGUAGAGUGUAAUGGCAUAAGGGUGCUUGACUGUGAGACCAACAAGUCGAUCAGGUGCGAAAGCAGGACAUAGUGAUCCGGUGGUUCCGUAUGGAAGGGCCAUCGCUCAAAGGAUAAAAGGUACUCCGGGGAUAACAGGCUAGUCUCCCCCAAGAGCUCACAUCGACGGGGAGGUUCGGCACCUCGAUGUCGGCUCGUCACAUCCUGGGGCUGGAGAAGGUCCCAAGGGUUGGGCUGUUCGCCCAUUAAAGUGGCACGCGAGCUGGGUUCAGAACGUCGUGAGACAGUUCGGUCUCUAUCUGUUGUGAUCGUUAGAAGUUUGAGCGGACUUGACUCUAGUACGAGAGGACCGUGUUGAACAAACCUCUGGUGUAUCAGUUGUACCGCCCGGUGCACUGCUGAGUAGCUACGUUUGGAUGAGAUAAGCACUGAAAGCAUAUAAGUGCGAAACUCGCCGCAAGAUAAGACUUCUUUAAAGGGUCGUGGAAGACUACCACGUUGAUAGGCUACAGAUGUAAAGGCAGCGAUGUCAAAGUCGAGUAGUACUAAUUACCCAUAGACUUUUUAUU
rfam:Weeksella virosa DSM 16922, complete genome.